rnacentral:rRNA from 1 species
UACGUAGGGGGCUAGCGUUGUCCGGAAUCAUUGGGCGUAAAGAGCGCGUAGGCGGCUUUUUAAGUCUGACGUGAAAGCCCAGGGCUUAGCCUUGGAAGUGCGCCAGAAACUGGAAGGCUAGAGUGCCGGAGGGGAGAGUGGAAUUCCUGGUGUAGCGGUGAAAUGCGUAGAUAUCAGGAGGAAUACCGGUGGCGAAAGCGACUCUCUGGACGGUAACUGACGCUGAGGCACGAAAGCGUGGGGAGCAAACAGG